rnacentral:rRNA from 1 species
AUAUUGGUCAAUGGCCGAGAGGCUGAACCAGCCAAGUCGCGUGAAGGAAGAAGGAUCUAUGGUUUGUAAACUUCUUUUAUAGGGGAAUAAAGUGGAGGACGUGUCCUUUUUUGUAUGUACCCUAUGAAUAAGCAUCGGCUAACUCCGUGCCAGCAGCCGCGGUAAUACGGAGGAUGCGAGCGUUAUCCGGAUUUAUUGGGUUUAAAGGGUGCGUAGGUGGUGAUUUAAGUCAGCGGUGAAAGUUUGUGGCUCAACCAUAAAAUUGCCGUUGAAACUGGGUUACUUGAGUGUGUUUGAGGUAGGCGGAAUGCGUGGUGUAGCGGUGAAAUGCAUAGAUAUCACGCAGAACUCCGAUUGCGAAGGCAGCUUACUAAACCAUAACUGACACUGAAGCACGAAAGCGUGGGGAUCAAACAGGAUUAGAUACCCUGGUAGUCCACGCAGUAAACGAUGAUUACUAGGAGUUUGCGAUACAAUGUAAGCUCUACAGCGAAAGCGUUAAGUAAUCCACCUGGGGAGUACGCCGGCAACGGUGAAACUCAAAGGAAUUGACGGGGGCCCGCACAAGCGGAGGAACAUGUGGUUUAAUUCGAUGAUACGCGAGGAACCUUACCCGGGCUUAAAUUGCAACAGAAUAUAUUGGAAACAGUAUAGCCGUAAGGCAGUUGUGAAGGUGCUGCAUGGUUGUCGUCAGCUCGUGCCGUGAGGUGUCGGCUUAAGUGCCAUAACGAGCGCAACCCUUGCCACUAGUUACUAACAGGUAAAGCUGAGGACUCUGGUGGGACUGCCAGCGUAAGCUGCGAGGAAGGCGGGGAUGACGUCAAAUCAGCACGGCCCUUACAUCCGGGGCGACACACGUGUUACAAUGGCGUGGACAAAGGGAGGCCACCUGGCGACAGGGAGCGAAUCCCCAAACCACGUCUCAGUUCGGAUCGGAGUCUGCAACUCGACUCCGUGAAGCUGGAUUCGCUAGUAAUCGCGCAUCAGCCAUGGCGCGGUGAAUACGU